rnacentral:rRNA from 1 species
AUGAACGCUGGCGGCGUGCCUAAUACAUGCAAGUCGAGCGAACAGACGAGGAGCUUGCUCCUCUGACGUUAGCGGCGGACGGGUGAGUAACACGUGGUUAACCUACCUAUAAGACUGGGAUAACUUCGGGAAACCGGAGCUAAUACCGGAUAAUAUAUUGAACCGCAUGGUUCAAUAGUGAAAGACGGUUUUGCUGUCACUUAUAGAUGGAUCCGCGCCGCAUUAGCUAGUUGGUAAGGUAACGGCUUACCAAGGCAACGAUGCGUAGCCGACCUGAGAGGGUGAUCGGCCACACUGGAACUGAGACACGGUCCAGACUCCUACGGGAGGCAGCAGUAGGGAAUCUUCCGCAAUGGGCGAAAGCCUGACGGAGCCACGCCGCGUGAGUGAUGAAGGUCUUCGGAUCGUAAAGCUCUGUUAUUAGGGAAGAACAAAUGUGUAAGUAACUAUGCACGUCUUGACGGUACCUAAUCAGAAAGCCACGGCUAACUACGUG